rnacentral:rRNA from 1 species
GACGUAGGGGGCCAGCGUUGCUCGGAAUUACUGGGCGUAAAGGGUUCGUAGGCGGUGCGGCAAGUCGGGAGUGAAAUCUCGUGGGCUUAACUCAGGGGCUGCUUCCGAAACUGCCGUGCUUGAGUGCGGGAGAGGCGAGUGGAAUUGCAGGUGUAGCGGUGAAAUGCGUAGAUAUCUGCAGGAACACCCGUGGCGAAGGCGGCUCGCUGGGACCGCAACUGACGCUGAGGAACGAAAGCUAGGGGAGCAAACAGG